rnacentral:ncRNA from 1 species
ACGGGGAGCUUGAGCGCGGAAAACAUCCGCGGAAAAGGCUGAGAGGGCAGUAAUCGCCGACCCGCUGAACCUGACGGAUAAUGCCGGCGUAGGGAACAUAUCU